rnacentral:lncRNA from 1 species
AACAAAGUCAAUUUUGACCAACUUGAUCUUAAACACCUACCAAAACCAGUUAAGCCAAAACCAGUCAUUCCUGGGAGUAAUGAAGGACAAGAACAGCUAGAAAAGAGGAGACAGCAACUAGGCCAACAGGCUCCAUGGGGAAUGUUCAGUCAAGUAUGGCCUUGGCUUCUCCCCCUCAUAGGACCCUUAUUAGUCCUCUUUAUGUUUCUCCUAAUAGGACCAUGUAUGUUAAAUUGCCUACAGAAGUUCCUGCAAGAUCAGAUACACAAAUUCACCAACCAGUCAGUCAAUCAAUUACUUCUUUAACACUACCAGCCCCUGAUGCCCAAGACAGAGACCUAUGACUCAUGAUCAACUCCUCUGGCUCCAGAGACUCUGCCCCCACCUAAAACCCUCCCUAACCCCUUUUCCAGAUUUUACAAUCCCUCUUUCACUUCCUAGGAAUGAGAACUACUCUCCUGCAGGUCCACUCUGAUUGUUCUGUCUGCUCUACAAUAUCCCCACAAGGAAGCAUCAAACCUAAACUCCCCAGGCAUCAGAUGAGGAGCCACUAGCCAGGCAAAGGCUGGUAGAUCAACUUCACUCAUAUGCCUAGGCACAAAAAGUUUCACUACCUACUUACUUUGGUUGAUACUUUUUCAGGUUGGAUAGAUGACUUCCCUACAUCCAGGGAAAUUGCUGACACCAUUGCCUCCAUCCUCAUUGAGGGGAUCAUUCCCAGGUUCGAACUUCCCACCUCCAUCCAGUGAGACAGUGGUCCAGCUCUCACUUCUCAGGUUGUUCAACUAGUCUCCAAAGGCCUCAACAUCACCUGGAGUCUCCACAUCUCCCACUAACCCCAAUCCUUGGGUAAGGUUGAGAGGCCUAACGGCAUUCUCAAAGAUCAUUUCACUAAACUUGCUAUUGAACUUAGGCUCUCCUGACCCAAUCUCCUGCCGUUGGCCCUCACCUGAUUUUAGGUAGCCCCAAGAGCUCCCUCAGGCCUUAGCCCCUUUGAUUAAUUCUAUGAGUACCCUUUCUUAACCACCCAAAGCUUUCCAAUCACUCCUCUUCCCCUUGUGUCCUACCUGUCCUAUCUCACACUUCUAUGCAAACUCCUAAGGGAACACACAGACGGGUGCCUUCCUGCACCUUGCCUCAAUCCCAGCACAACCACAAACUGAAUUGGACCCUCUUCAACUCGGUGACUCAGUCUUAAUUCAGGAACUACAUUCUCAAUCGUUGGAACCCUGAUGGACGGGACCCCAUACAGUCAUACUUACUACCCCAAUGGUAACCAAGCAUUUAGACACUCUCUCUGGUACUUAAAAAGGCACCUGUUCCAAAUGUCCAGUCCUGGACUUCCACCACGCCCACCAAACUCAAAAUUUCUCACCAACCCUCUUCUUCUUUUACUAAUCAUUAUUCUCUCUCAAGUUUUUAUCUCAAACCACAGAUGCCACUUCUACAACCAAACCACCAGGAUGACACCACCCACUCUCAGUUUAUGGGUCAAGGCGAUUGCUCUUCCACUGGCUGAAAUCGGGCUGUCACCCUUAACAUUACUGGAUUCAACC